UGGACUGCUGGAUAGAAAUCUGGGGGUGAAGACCUGAGGAAUAUCGACUUCAAAAUAAUCUAAAAUGUGACUCAGCAGGUAACACACUUGCUGUGCGAGGACCAGAGCUCAGCUUCCCAGAAACCACAACAGGAAAGCAGAUUUUUGUACUUAGGGGAGGAGAAAAAAAGAAAGAAAGAAACCCUUCCAGACACACACGUUGGAAAAAUACAAACAAAUUCAAGUUUAAACGGCUCCCUAUGCUUGGGGUGUUGCUGGUGCCACCGAAAUGACAAACUUGUAGAUUGCAUAAUCUGGAACUUCAGCUAAAUACCAGAAAAGACACAUGGAAGAGAGGUUGUGACGGGAGAUUUAUUAGUAUGUGCCUGGACAUAAUUGUACCUUUACCUCAUCUAGCCAAAGCAAACUUUGGGUCCAGUGUCUAGAUAGACAACUCUAAAUCCUGCUGAAUUGAUCAGCUGCCAUCUCAGUCUCAAGUCCCGGGUGCUGGAAUUCUGAAAACAUAUUUCAGAGCAUAAUUGACAGUAAAGGGAGUGGAGUGGGUACUUCCUCUCUGAGUGGCCCCGUUAUCCGUGGUGCUCCGGAUACCUGCCCCCAGCAAGCCUCAGACUCCUAAAGGGCAGAUUCCAUUAUCUGAGAGAUUCUAAGGACAAAGCUGAGACACAAAAGGCAAGCCAUGUCUUUCCCUGAUUAUCACCAAGUCCCCUGUGGAGCCCCAAACAGGAUCAGACUCAUUCUUCUCAAAAGACCGCACUCACUUUACAGUGCAAAGACAUAUGAUUUUUGAAUGCAUUUUUCCGUGGCAGAGAACUGAGGAGCUUGGAACCCAUGUAUACAGCUGAGUAACUGUCUGAACAGUAGAAACUAGGAAGCUCACCAUCUGGGUUCUGUGAUGCUUCCGAACAAGCAACGGGAACAAAUAAAAAUCUGAUAAUUCAUAUUU